GAUGAAGAACGUAGCGAAAUGCGAUAAGUAAUGUGAAUUGCAGAAUUCAGUGAAUCAUCGAAUCUUUGAACGCACAUUGCGCCCGCCAGUAUUCUGGCGGGCAUGCCUGUCCGAGCGUCAUUUCAACCCUCGGGCCCCCCUCUGCGGGCGGCCCGGCGUUGGGGCUCAGGCGCCGUCUCUGCUCGGCGCCUGUCCCCUAAAUGCAGUGGCGGCCUCGCCGCUGCCUCCUCCGCGUAGUAGCACAAACCUCGCGGCUGGAAGGCGGCGCGGCCACGCCGUAAAACCCCCCAACUUUACCAAGGUUGACCUCGGAUCAGGUAGGAAUACCCGCUGAACUUAAGCAUAUCAUAAGCGGAGGA
rnacentral:misc_RNA from 1 species